UCGCAUGAUCAGCUNUAUAAAAGGCGGCGUAAGCUGUCGCUAUGGGAUGGCCCCGCGGUGCAUUAGCUAGUUGGUAAGGUAAAGGCUUACCAAGGCGAUGAUGCAUAGCCGAGUUGAGAGACUGAUCGGCCACAUUGGGACUGAGACACGGCCCAAACUCCUACGGGAGGCAGCAGUAGGGAAUCUUCCACAAUGGACGCAAGUCUGAUGGAGCAACGCCGCGUGAGUGAAGAAGGUUUUCGGAUCGUAAAGCUCUGUUGUUGGUGAAGAAGGAUAGAGGUAGUNACUGGCCUUUAUU
rnacentral:rRNA from 1 species